rnacentral:rRNA from 1 species
UACGUAGGUGGCGAGCGUUGUCCGGAUUUACUGGGCGUAAAGGGCGUGCAGGCGGUUUGUUAAGUGCAGGGUGAAAGCUCCCGGCUCAACUGGGAGAGGUCCUUGCAUACUGGCGAACUCGAGGGAGGCAGAGGAAAGUGGAAUUCCCGGUGUAGUGGUGAUAUGCGUAGAUAUCGGGAGGAACACCUGUGGCGAAGGCGGCUUUCUGGGCCUUACCUGACGCUGAGACGCGAAAGCGUGGG